GGGCUUUUCAUGGCGGAAUCCCCUGCCUAUAUUGCGCGUGCCGGCUUCGUGCCGGCUAUGGCGAUAAACGGCCGAUGAAAUAAACCUUUCGGACCCGGGGGCGGUACCCGGCGCCUCCACCUGAACCCAUCCCCUCGCGGCGAUCCCGCGGCGAUGGGUUCAGGCGGGGGCGAAAUAGGAUCGACGAGGGUGUAAAGAUCGGACUUUUGCUCGGCAUGGUUCCGCCGUUAUCGGGCCUAUUUGUAGUUGCAAACGACAACUAUGCGGAAGCACGUCUCGCAGCGUAAGCUGCGCGAUCGCUUCAAUUUAAGCCCUGGAGGUUCGCACUUCUAGGCGGGGUCCGGAGGCACCUGGCAACAGAAGCCUCCACU
rfam:Aurantimonas manganoxydans SI85-9A1 scf_1099451004081 genomic scaffold, whole genome shotgun sequence.